rnacentral:rRNA from 1 species
AAACCCGGUGAUCUAGCCAUGGGCAGGUUGAAGGUUGGGUAACACUAACUGGAGGACCGAACCGACUAAUGUUGAAAAAUUAGCGGAUGACUUGUGGCUGGGGGUGAAAGGCCAAUCAAACCGGGAGAUAGCUGGUUCUCCCCGAAAGCUAUUUAGGUAGCGCCUCGUGAACUCAUCUUCGGGGGUAGAGCACUGUUUCGGCUAGGGGGCCAUCCCGGCUUACCAAACCGAUGCAAACUCCGAAUACCGAAGAAUGUUAUCACGGGAGACACACGGCGGGUGCUAACGUCCGUCGUGAAGAGGGAAACAACCCAGACCGCCAGCUAAGGUCCCAAAGUCAUGGUUAAGUGGGAAACGAUGUGGGAAGGCAUAGACAGCCAGGAUGUUGGCUUAGAAGCAGCCAUCAUUUAAAGAAAGCGUAAUAGCUCACUGGUCGAGUCGGCCUGCGCGGAAGAUGUAACGGGGCUAAACCAUGCACCGAAGCUGCGGCAGCGACGCUUAGGCGUUGUUGGGUAGGGGAGCGUUCUGUAAGCCGUUGAAGGUGACCUGUGAGGGUUGCUGGAGGUAUCAGAAGUGCGAAUGCUGACAUAAGUAACGAUAAAGCGGGUGAAAAGCCCGCUCGCCGGAAGACCAAGGGUUCCUGUCCAACGUUAAUCGGGGCAGGGUGAGUCGACCCCUAAGGCGAGGCCGAAAGGCGUAGUCGAUGGGAAACAGGUUAAUAUUCCUGUACUCGGUGUUACUGCGAAGGGGGGACGGAGAAGGCUAGGCUAGCCGGGCGACGGUUGUCCCGGUUUAAGCGUGUAGGGGGAGUG